rnacentral:misc_RNA from 1 species
UGUAACCAGGUUCCUUCUCACUUUAACGGAAGCCUUGCAACUCAGUCUACCUUUUAACGGUAGGCAACACGAGUCUGUUGCUGAGAGUCUUUAACUAUAAGUUAUCAGCAGUUGAGUAUUACCCAUACUUGAUUCACAGAUUAAAUACUCGUGGCAAUCGAUUCGCUUGAAAAAGCGAUUGUUCAGAUAUAAUCGGUCUAAUCUUGCAAGAGAUUAAAGAAUACGUUCCGUAGGUGAACCUGCGGAAGGAUCAUUACUGAGUUAGGGUUCCUUGUGAGCCCGACCUCCAACCCUUUGUUAAUACCACUUUGUUGCUUUGGCAGGCCCGCUUUCGGGCCGCUGGAGGGGUUUAGUCACCUCUGGCCAGUGCUUGCCAGUAGCCAAAUCAAAUUCUUUUAAUUAUGUCGUCUGAUUCUUUAAUUAAAAUUUAAUUAAAACUUUCAACAACGGAUCUCUUGGUUCUGGCAUCGAUGAAGAACGCAGCGAAAUGCGAUAAGUAAUGUGAAUUGCAGAAUUCAGUGAAUCAUCGAAUCUUUGAACGCACAUUGCGCCCCUUGGUAUUCCGAGGGGCAUGCCUGUUCGAGCGUCAUUAUCAACCAUCAAGCCCGGCUUGUUAUUGGGUUCUUAUCGUUAAAACCGAUUGGCCCGAAAGAUAAUGGCGGUGUCAAAAUAGACCCCAGGUGCAGCGAGCUAUAAGCAUACACUGAGGUGGUCGUUUUGGCCCGGUCUUAACUAUAUUAUAUUCUAAGGUGACCUCGGA